UGAACGCUGGCGGAAUGCUUUACACAUGCAAGUCGAACGGCAGCACGGGGGCAACCCUGGUGGCGAGUGGCGAACGGGUGAGUAAUACAUCGGAACGUGCCCAGUCGUGGGGGAUAACGUAGCGAAAGCUACGCUAAUACCGCAUACGAACUCUGGUUGAAAGCGGGGGAUCGCAAGACCUCGCGCGAUUGGAGCGGCCGAUGGCAGAUUAGGUAGUUGGUGGGGUAAAGGCUCACCAAGCCGACGAUCUGUAGCUGGUCUGAGAGGACGACCAGCCACACUGGGACUGAGACACGGCCCAGACUCCUACGGGAGGCAGCAGUGGGGAAUUUUGGACAAUGGGCGCAAGCCUGAUCCAGCCAUUCCGCGUGCAGGAUGAAGGCCCUCGGGUUGUAAACUGCUUUUGUACGGAACGAAAAGGCUUUCUCUAAUACAGAGAGCUCAUGACGGUACCGUAAGAAUAAGCACC
rnacentral:rRNA from 1 species